AUUGAACGCUAGCGGGAUGCUUUACACAUGCAAGUCGAGCGAGAGGCGGACGGGUGAGCAAUAUAUCGGACCGUGCCCAGUAGCGGGGGACAACUACCCGAAAGAGUUGCCGAUACCGCAUACUAUAGCAUAGGCCGAUAUGGGAUUAGCGUGUUGGUAGGGUAAAGGAUCACCACGGCAACGAUCCGGAGCUGGUUUGAGAGGACGACCAGCCACACUGGGACUGAGACACGGCCCAGACUCCUACGGGAGGCAGCAGUGGGGAAUUUUGGACAAUGGGGGAAACCCUGAUCCAGCCAUCCCGCGUGUAUGAGAAGGCCUUCGGGUUGUAAAGUACUUUUGGCAGAGAAGCGGUAUCUGCAGAAUAAGCACCGGCUAACUACGUGCCAGCAGCCGCGGUAAUAC
rnacentral:rRNA from 1 species